UUUUGGCGGUUAUCAGUUUCCAGACCGAGUUGAGCUAUGGUACUUGACUAUUUUGUAGGAAUUUUUGUUUUCAAACUCCUUAAACUUAACUCUAAAGUGACCGUGUUAAACCUAAUGUCAUGGGUACAAGUCCAUGGAGCGAGCCAGUAGAGCCAGCUUCUCCUGGUGGUUCAGCUGGGCGAUGUGGAGACCCUGAUUGCCCUUACUGCAGUGAGGAUGGUCCUGCUUUGUCUCUGUUUAUGUAUUCAAUUAAAAGUAUACGAAAAUGACCUGGCCCGUGGGAACCCAGACCCCCAAGCCAGGAUCCCAGCGGGCCAAGUCCAGGCACCCCCAGACCAGGCAGCCUAUGGGGACUGAGCCACCCAGCGACGCCUGGACGCCCCGGGACGUGCAGCCGGCCAGCAACCUCCCGCUGCCCUGCAACCCCCAGCCCCACCAAGAUUCCCCGUUCGCCUGUACCCAGGGCCUAGAUUUCCGGCGAACAGGGAAAGACCUUGUAAUUGAUAAUGCAAUGAAUUAAUUUUUAAUAAUAACAAAAAUAAAAUUAAAAAUUUAUUUUUAAAAUUAUAGGACAAGAUUAGCAAGAGGAGCAUAUAGAGAAUCUAUAGCGCUCAUCUUGCAAGAGUAAAUAUGUCUGGCACAACAGUGCAUUCAGAUCACAGUUCUGGUUGCAAUAUCUGCCAGACAUGACAGGCUUAAAAAAAAAAAAUCUUUUUAAAUAGAAAUCUGGCUAAGAUUUCAGUUUCAAACUGAACUUGAUGAUGAUAAAAUAACAUUUCUAUGUGUUAGAGGUGUUUAUUAUGCUUUUUGUUCAUUUUGAAGUUUAAAAUGCUAAAUUUGAAGGAUUUGUAAAUUAUUGCAUUCUGUUUUAAUGCAUAUUUUACACAGCAUCCUAAAGAGGGGUGUAGAUGUGUGCCCACCUACACCCCUCUUUAGGAGGAUUGCCAGUGUACAGACUUGUAACUGUGUGAAUGUUUAGAGCUUGGAUCUUUCCUGUCCUCUGUCCUUAGGUUUCCUCUGUGGCCUCUUUGUAUCUGAGCAGCUUGCUACCUCAUCUCUUUUCUGGCUCCCGUUUCAUUCAUGCGUCUAUCCUGUUCUGAAAGAUCUUCCCAGCAUGCCUCAUCUUUUCUUCUGUCCUUAGAUUUUCAAAAAAAAACAAAAAACACUGGCAUUCUGUCAUGUGAACAAAGCACAAUGCACUCUGAGUAAAAGCUAAAAGAGGAGUGCACAUGUUUUGAAUUUAAAAAAUGGCAUCACAGAAGUAUUUGAAUAUUCAGAAGAUGCUGGGAGGAGUGAUGCAUGCUACGUGAGGAGGCGAGUAUGAAACGCAGAGAGAAGUUUAUUGAUUUAUCUGUGAUGCUCGCUGACUUGU